GGUUAAGCGACUAAGCGUACACGGUGGAUGCCCUGGCAGUCAGAGGCGAUGAAGGACGUGCUAAUCUGCGAUAAGCGUCGGUAAGGUGAUAUGAACCGUUAUAACCGGCGAUUUCCGAAUGGGGAAACCCAGUGUGUUUCGACACACUAUCAUUAACUGAAUCCAUAGGUUAAUGAGGCGAACCGGGGGAACUGAAACAUCUAAGUACCCCGAGGAAAAGAAAUCAACCGAGAUUCCCCCAGUAGCGGCGAGCGAACGGGGAGCAGCCCAGAGCCUGAAUCAGUGUGUGUGUUAGUGGAAGCGUCUGGAAAGGCGCGCGAUACAGGGUGACAGCCCCGUACACAAAAAUGCACAUAUUGUGAGCUCGAUGAGUAGGGCGGGACACGUGGUAUCCUGUCUGAAUAUGGGGGGACCAUCCUCCAAGGCUAAAUACUCCUGACUGACCGAUAGUGAACCAGUACCGUGAGGGAAAGGCGAAAAGAACCCCGGCGAGGGGAGUGAAAAAGAACCUGAAACCGUGUACGUACAAGCAGUGGGAGCACGCUUAGGCGUGUGACUGCGUACCUUUUGUAUAAUGGGUCAGCGACUUAUAUUCUGUAGCAAGGUUAACCGAAUAGGGGAGCCGAAGGGAAACCGAGUCUUAACUGGGCGUUAAGUUGCAGGGUAUAGACCCGAAACCCGGUGAUCUAGCCAUGGGCAGGUUGAAGGUUGGGUAACACUAACUGGAGGACCGAACCGACUAAUGUUGAAAAAUUAGCGGAUGACUUGUGGCUGGGGGUGAAAGGCCAAUCAAACCGGGAGAUAGCUGGUUCUCCCCGAAAGCUAUUUAGGUAGCGCCUCGUGAAUUCAUCUCCGGGGGUAGAGCACUGUUUCGGCAAGGGGGUCAUCCCGACUUACCAACCCGAUGCAAACUGCGAAUACCGGAGAAUGUUAUCACGGGAGACACACGGCGGGUGCUAACGUCCGUCGUGAAGAGGGAAACAACCCAGACCGCCAGCUAAGGUCCCAAAGUCAUGGUUAAGUGGGAAACGAUGUGGGAAGGCCCAGACAGCCAGGAUGUUGGCUUAGAAGCAGCCAUCAUUUAAAGAAAGCGUAAUAGCUCACUGGUCGAGUCGGCCUGCGCGGAAGAUGUAACGGGGCUAAACCAUGCACCGAAGCUGCGGCAGCGACGCUUAUGCGUUGUUGGGUAGGGGAGCGUUCUGUAAGCCUGCGAAGGUGUGCUGUGAGGCAUGCUGGAGGUAUCAGAAGUGCGAAUGCUGACAUAAGUAACGAUAAAGCGGGUGAAAAGCCCGCUCGCCGGAAGACCAAGGGUUCCUGUCCAACGUUAAUCGGGGCAGGGUGAGUCGACCCCUAAGGCGAGGCCGAAAGGCGUAGUCGAUGGGAAACAGGUUAAUAUUCCUGUACUUGGUGUUACUGCGAAGGGGGGACGGAGAAGGCUAUGUUGGCCGGGCGACGGUUGUCCCGGUUUAAGCGUGUAGGCUGGUUUUCCAGGCAAAUCCGGAAAAUCAAGGCUGAGGCGUGAUGACGAGGCACUACGGUGCUGAAGCAACAAAUGCCCUGCUUCCAGGAAAAGCCUCUAAGCAUCAGGUAACAUCAAAUCGUACCCCAAACCGACACAGGUGGUCAGGUAGAGAAUACCAAGGCGCUUGAGAGAACUCGGGUGAAGGAACUAGGCAAAAUGGUGCCGUAACUUCGGGAGAAGGCACGCUGAUAUGUAGGUGAAGUCCCUCGCGGAUGGAGCUGAAAUCAGUCGAAGAUACCAGCUGGCUGCAACUGUUUAUUAAAAACACAGCACUGUGCAAACACGAAAGUGGACGUAUACGGUGUGACGCCUGCCCGGUGCCGGAAGGUUAAUUGAUGGGGUUAGCGCAAGCGAAGCUCUUGAUCGAAGCCCCGGUAAACGGCGGCCGUAACUAUAACGGUCCUAAGGUAGCGAAAUUCCUUGUCGGGUAAGUUCCGACCUGCACGAAUGGCGUAAUGAUGGCCAGGCUGUCUCCACCCGAGACUCAGUGAAAUUGAACUCGCUGUGAAGAUGCAGUGUACCCGCGGCAAGACGGAAAGACCCCGUGAACCUUUACUAUAGCUUGACACUGAACAUUGAGCCUUGAUGUGUAGGAUAGGUGGGAGGCUU
rnacentral:rRNA from 1 species